rnacentral:rRNA from 1 species
AGGGCACCACCAGGAGUGGAGCCUGCGGCUUAAUUUGACUCAACACGGGAAAACUUACCCGGCCCGGACACUGGAAGGAUUGACAGAUUGAGAGCUCUUUCUUGAUUCAGUGGGUGGUGGUGCAUGGCCGUUCUUAGUUGGUGGAGCGAUUUGUCUGGUUAAUUCCGAUAACGAACGAGACUCUAGCCUACUAAAUAGACUGUUCAGCUUUAUAGCCGGAAUCACCGGGUGCGUGCCUCUCGGGGUGCGUAUUCGGCUCUGGUGACGCUGGCAGUGCUUCUUAGAGGGACAGGCGGCGGUUCAGCCGCACGAAACAGAGCAAUAACAGGUCUGUGAUGCCCUUAGAUGUCCGGGGGCUGCACGCGCGCUACACUGAAGUGAUCAGCGUGCAAUUCAAGUUUGGUGAAUCUGUCAAAGAUUGCCCAAACCCGUUGAACCUUCUUUCGUGAUUGGGAUAGGGGAAUUGUAAUUAUUUCCCCUUGAACGAGGGAAUUCCCAGUAAGCGCAAGCCCAAAAGCU